rnacentral:rRNA from 1 species
CACGUAGGGUGCGAGCGUUGUCCGGAAUUAUUGGGCGUAAAGAGCUCGUAGGCGGUGUGUCGCGUCGGCCGUGAAAACCUGCAGCUUAACUGUGGGCUUGCGGUCGAUACGGGCAUCACUGGAGUUCGGCAGGGGGAGACUGGAAUUCCUGGUGUAGCGGUGAAAUGCGCAGAUAUCAGGAGGAACACCGGUGGCGAAGGCGGGUCUCGUGGGCCGAUGACUGACGCUGAGGAGCGAAAGCGUGGGGAGCAAACAGG